rnacentral:rRNA from 1 species
GCGUAAGGGCUCGCAGGCGGUUUCUUAAGUCUGAUGUGAAAGCCCCCGGCUCAACCGGGGAGGGUCAUUGGAAACUGGGAAACUUGAGUGCAGAAGAGGAGAGUGGAAUUCCACGUGUAGCGGUGAAAUGCGUAGAGAUGUGGAGGAACACCAGUGGCGAAGGCGACUCUCUGGUCUGUAACUGACGCUGAGGAGCGAAAGCGUGGGGAGCGAACAGGAUUAGAUACCCUGGUAGUCCACGCCGUAAACGAUGAGUGCUAAGUGUUAGGGGGUUUCCGCCCCUUAGUGCUGCAGCUAACGCAUUAAGCACUCCGCCUGGGGAGUACGGUCGCAAGACUGAAACUCAAAGGAAUUGACGGGGGCCCGCACAAGCGGUGGAGCAUGUGGUUUAAUUCGAAGCAACGCGAAGAACCUUACCAGGUCUUGACAUCCUCUGACAACCCUAGAGAUAGGGCUUUCCCUUCGGGGACAGAGUGACAGGUGGUGCAUGGUUGUCGUCAGCUCGUGUCGUGAGAUGUUGGGUUAAGUCCCGCAACGAGCGCAACCCUUGAUCUUAGUUGCCAGCAUUUAGUUGGGCACUCUAAGGUGACUGCCGGUGACAAACCGGAGGAAGGUGGGGAUGACGUCAAAUCAUCAUGCCCCUUAUGACCUGGGCUACACACGUGCUA